UACGGAGGGUGCAAGCGUUAUCCGGAUUCACUGGGUUUAAAGGGUGCGUAGGCGGGCAGGUAAGUCAGUGGUGAAAUCUUCGAGCUUAACUCGGAAACUGCCUUUGAUACUAUCUGUCUUGAAUAUUGUGGAGGUAAGCGGAAUAUGUCAUGUAGCGGUGAAAUGCUUAGAUAUGACAUAGAACACCUAUUGCGAAGGCAGCUUACUACGCAUAUAUUGACGCUGAGGCACGAAAGCGUGGGGGAUCAAACAGG
rnacentral:rRNA from 1 species